UAAAAUAAAUAAGAAUGAGAAUGUAUAUAGAUAUUUAAUAAAAUUAAGUCACGAGCCAAUUGAAUUUAGUGCAAACCAAUAAUUGAGUAAUUAUGUAAACCCUAGUAGUUUUGCAAGUCUACAAGUAUCUCAAAUAUACUGAGCGAUGCUUAAGCUUUAAUCAAUCUCUGGGUUCACUUGAUAAACCAAACAAGAUCCAAACAAAUACACCCCUCAAAUUCUUUCUUGUGAUGCAUACACUGCGCAGAGAAGAUUAUUAACGGCCAUUUCACUUGAAAAGACAUUACUAAUAGUUUUAGUUUUUUUUUUUUUGGUAAAAAUAAAGCUAUAUCAAGGAGACGGUUUAGAAUUUGCAAAACAAAUCUUCCAGUGUUCUCUUUCUAUUUAUUUAUUUAUGUUUUCCUUUAUGUAUACAGCUUUGAUGUGAAUGAUACUUCUCAUGGGAGCUUUCGGCUUAGAUUGAUCUUUCAAAACUCAGGCGAUCCUCUUCAGAUGAGCUGCAAAUGUAGAUAGAGCUGAAUCUUCUUGUCAAAGUGCAUAAAUUUAUUUGUUAACUAAUUAGAAACUACGUCCACAGAGGCGAUUCACAAACAGAUGCUCAUAGUUUUGCCACUUGUUUGCUGAAGUUUGGAUCAAUGCAAACAACCACCUUGCCAACACUUUUACCCGAAUGAAGAUACUCUACAGCAUCUGCAACAGCAUGAACACCAACAAAUCUUUUGGGAUCUAUGGAAACCUUAAGCUUUCCUGUAGAGAAAAGAUCAAAUAGCCUGUCCAGAUGCUGUUGCCAUAAGUGACCAUAUUGAAUUAGGAAAAAACCAGCCACUGUUUGGCUUUUCGCUAAAAUCUUCUCACAAAGUCCAGUAUAAUUUGAUGGCAUCCAUCCAUGUUCUCCUUGAUACUGUGAAAUCAUUCCGAUCACAAUAAGUCGUCCAUGGACUGCUAAAGCAUUCAGACACAGGCCAAACAUGUCACCACCAACAGAUUCAUAGAUGACAUCAACACCUUUAGGAAAUUCCUUCUUUAGAACAGUUUUGAUAUUUUCAACUUUGUAAUCUAUGACUCGGUCAACUCCCAAUUCUUUCAAGAGCGUUGCCUUUUCCUUACCUCCACAGGUUGCAACUACUUUAUUUCCUGCCAACUUUGCAAGCUGGACAGCAAAUUGCCCAGUCCCUCCUGCUGCAGCAGUAACAAGAACUACUUUUCCAGAUUCCAUCUGUCCAGCCUAAAGUUCCAUAAGAAAAGAACAUCAUUAGAAUUUAUAAGAAACAAAAUGAAGCUAAACUUCCAGACUUAGCACACGCAUAAAGCAUAACCUUCUCUAGAGCAAUUGACGCUGUUAAUCCUGAUGUAAGCAUGGCAACAACUUCAGGAUCUGGUCUUGGCACAGGAAGAAUAUGUUUUGCAGGAACCACUGUGAAUUCAGCAUAACUUCCAAAAGUCAUAAUUGCAGCAGGAGUGCCAACUUUCAAAUCCCGAACAGAUUCCCCCAAAGCUGCAAUUAUUCCCACUGCCUCAAAACCAGCAUCAAAUGGAAGACGAGAACCAAGGUCUUUGUUGUUGCCCGUAAAAUACCGUCCAGAGCUGAAGUUUACCUGAUUGCAAGUUAAUAGCAAGUCAUUGUUAAAAAACACAUACAAGCACAUUAAUGGGUAUAGAUAUAGAGAUAGGGAAAUCAUAUAUGUGAAUCAAAUAAUUUGCCCCAAAGAAGAAAAAUGCCUUGGUAUGGUUAUGCAUGAUAACAGUGAAAAUGAAGAUGAGACUUAAUGUGAGACUUCCUUUCCCCACAUAUCUCCCUCCUAUCCAACUUUUCUUAUAAAAAGCCUCUCUUUUCUGUCAAUUAACAGCUUUCUCUAAUCAAAACCCCACUUUAGUGGACAGAAAUUCAAAUGGUUUCACAUAGCUGACAAGUUUGAACAGGAUUCUGUAGCUGUUCUUAACUCUUUCCUCAAUCAAACUACAACCUUGACAGAAGCCAAUUGUGCUUAAGACAUAAACUUAGAAGGUCACAUCCUUAAUCUCAGUUGUAAGUAAAGGAUGAUGAAGCACACUGCAGAACAACAACCCAAACUAUAUAUUUGUCAUGAGAAUACAUGUGUUUGUGUGUGUGUAUAUAAACAAGCACAGUUUCCUUAUUAACAAAUAUCUAGGUGAAACAAUGUAAUGUAACAAACGAGAACACAUCAUUAGCUGAAUAACCCAUUUUACUAACCGUCAAAGACCAAAGAAUAGAAGACAAUUUAACCUACUCAUGCAAGUAAAAACUUAGGGAGAACAAACUAUGUUGAUAUACAUAACUGCAAGAGGCAAUUAGCCAUACAGUGAAUCUUCUCUACAAAACCGAGGAAUUACAGACUUGGACCUUGGGCAACAUAGAUAACAACAGAAUAAGAUGUAGAGGGGAAAAAAUGAAAAGGAAUUGAAGUUGAUCUUUUCAACGAGCUUACAUCACUAGCAUUUACACCAGCAUAAAUGACUUUCACAAGAACUUGAUGUGGUUCAAUGGGUAAUCGCAGUGGUGUGCUUACAAUGCGGGUAGCAUUGCGGAAAUUGUGACUCAAAGUAUGGACAACUCUGAAAAGCAAAAUCUAACAUGCAUUAGUAAGCAACUUUAGGAAACAAUUACAGAUUGUAAGAUUAUUACAAUUUAGAAGACUUACAUGCGUUACUUCAAUGAGAUAGGAUAUCAUAAAUUAAAGCAGUUAACCUAGAGGGUGUGAGGCAAAUAUAUCACACUUGUCAAAAUUAUAAGAUAAAACCUUCCAGCAAUAGAAGUAAACACUUACCAUUCCAUCAAAACCACCAUAUAAGGCUACAUUAAACUUUAUUAGAAUGUUGAUUCAAUAUUUCAGCUCACUACUUAAAAAUAACAGUUCAUUUUUAAAUAGAUGAAUGUUUUCGAUUACAAAUUGAUUUCAAUUUUGCCGCUACAAUAAACCAAUUCAAAACCAUAUAUAUAUAUAACCAAUUUUUUUUUAUUUAAACAAAUGAGAUAAUAGGUAAGAGUGUAGAAACCAAACAAUUCUGACCCUGUUUUUGUUUAUUUGGUUUUUUAAAUUCCAAAGAACUGGUUUGGUUUGAAAUUCACCGGUUGCAAUUUAACAUUUGAUUUUAGCAUUACCUCGAACCAACCAAACCAGACCAUACAUACUGCGAAAUAGUAGGCAUGCUGCACAAUUCUUGCAGGAAACCCAGUGGUCCAACCACUGUGUAUGCAGGAAACAAUCAAAUGUAUAUCAUUUGUUCCAUUCUGAAAAAGGUAUUUUCUUACGUCUUCCAACACACCCCUCAUGUUCCUUCCCUUUGUUUCUCAUUCAUAUUACUAACAUUCAUUUUAGAAUAUAAUUAAAGGGUAGGAAAAUAAGAAUAGAAGCUGCCCAAACAACUCCAUAUAUUAGAUAAGAACACCAAAAUAGAGACUGAUAAAAAAAAUACAGACGGAUGAACAUGACAGUUACUGGGAGAAAGAUAAGAUUCAAAUGAAAUAAAUAUACUAAACAGUAGGGAGAGCUUCAACUGCAAGCACAGAAGGACAAAUCAUUCUAUAUGGUGAUUGGUGUGGGUACAAUUCAUGAAUGGAAAGGAUUAAUAUUCAACUAAUGUAAAUUGAUUUUGAAUUUAUAUAUAAUGAACAAAAAUCUAAAUAAACGAAAUAAAUAAGUUUAAACAAAAUUUCUCACAUCUUCUCAAAGCUUUGAGGAAGUUGAAGAUUUGUUGGGGCUUUGAAAGAAACCCUUUUCCUGGAAGCUGAAGAACGCACCAAGUAUUUUGCUUCUUCUGCAGGAGCGGGCCAAUAUUCCAUACCCCUGCGAUGUGUUAUCCACAGGCAAGAGCCAGCUUUACUCUCAUCAGUAAUGAGCUCAAAUGCACCUUUGAUUACCGUUUUCAUCGGAAUAAAGCCUCCCAUCAAAUCAACAAAUUUAGCAUCGAUUUUUGAUCCCAUCUCAGUUUCAACAAACUCAGGACAAAGCACAUUAAUGCGAAUACCUUGACGUUUGUAUGGAACAAGUGAUCUAGUAAACAUAACAACACCACCUUUAGAGCCAGUGUAGAUAGGGUCAGUAUACAGAGGAUAAAGACCUGAAGCAGACCCCAGAUUUAUAAUGACUCCAGGCUUUUGUGCAGCUUUCAUAGCUUUUAUCGCAAGCCGAGUGCAAUCAAUUACUGCAACCAGGUUCACGUUAACAGCGUGCCUCCACGAAUGAGUACCAUCAGUUUGAUCAUUAUAGAAUGGUAUAGAAGUACCUAUACCAGCACUGUUGAUACAGAUAUCCAGUCCUCCAUAUGUUGCUACAUGAUUCUCAAAAGCAGCAGCCAAAUCUCUCGAGUUUGCCACAUCGCAUCUAAUAAACAGAGCAGUUGGGAAUUCCAACUUGGAAUGGAAUUUGGCAUUCUCUUUCUCAAUGAGGGAUACAACUUCCUUCCCCUUUUCUUCCAAGAAAUCAACAACCGUAACAAACACUCCCUUCGCUCCCAGAGCUAAACUAAGCGCCUUCCCAAUCCCCGAGGCUCCACCAGUGACGAAAGCUGAUAAACCUGGUUUGAUCUCCAUAGAAAUGGCGUUUACUUCAAUUCUCAGUAGUGAUGUUAACGAGAGAAGAUUAACCAGAUAUAUAGCCUUGGAGGUGUGGAAAGAUCACCUUUUAUAUUAUUAACAAGAUCGAUAUAGCCUUGUAUUUUUCUCAACUUUAAGGUGUUCU
rnacentral:misc_RNA from 1 species